rnacentral:rRNA from 1 species
GACGAACGCUGGCGGCGUGCUUAACACAUGCAAGUCGAACGGUGAAGCGCCUUCCUUUUUGGUUGGUGGGGAUGAGUGGCGAACGGGUGAGUAACACGUGAGUAACCUGCCCCCUUCUUCUGGAUAACCGCAUGAAAGUGUGGCUAAUACGGGAUAUUCUGGGUCUGUCGCAUGAUGGGUCUGGGAAAGAUAUUGGUUCGGUGGGGGAUGGGCUCGCGGCCUAUCAGCUUGUUGGUGCGGUGAUGGCCUACCAAGGCGGUGAGGGGUAGCCGGCCUGAGAGGGUGGACGGUCACACUGGGACUGAGACACGGCCCAGACUCCGACGGGACGCAGCAUUGGGGAAUAUUGCAUAGUGGGCGCAAGCGUGAUGCAGCGACGCCGCGUAAGGGAUGGAGGCCUGCGGGUUGUGACCCUCUUUCGCUAGUGAAGCAGGCCUGCCUGGUUUGUGGGUGGGUUGACGGUAGCUGGAUAAGAAGCGCCGGCUAACUACGUG